rnacentral:lncRNA from 1 species
ACAAGUUUCGAUCAUUUAUCACGUUUGCCAAACCUCCAUACACAUGAAACAUACAACAAGUAAACAUGUUACAAUAGUCAGACACACUUAAACACAAACAAGUAUCUAAUUCAAACUCAACAUCAGCCUAAAAGUAGUCAAAGAAAGAGCCCUUUAAACGUUGCAAGCAAGACGGUCAUUAAACAAUCAACAGAAUCACCAAAUCCUAAUC